rnacentral:rRNA from 1 species
UUUCGCAAUGCCCGAAAGGGUGACGAAGCGACGCCGCGUGCGGGAAGAAGGCCUUCGGGUUGUAAACCGCUGUCGGGAGUUAAGAAAUGUAAGGAUGUUAAUAGCAUCUUUGCUUGACUAAGGCUCCGGAGGAAGCCACGGCUAACUCUGUGCCAGCAGUCGCGGUAAUACAGAGGCGGCAAGCGUUGUUCGGAAUUAUUGGGCGUAAAGAGCACGUAGGCGGCUAUGUAAGUCGGUUGUGAAAGCCUUCCGCUCAACGGGAGAACAGCAUCCGAUACUGCAUGGCUUGAGUGCGGGAGGGGAGAGUGGAACUUCUGGUGGAGCGGUGAAAUGCGUAGAUAUCAGAAGGAACGCCGGCGGCGAAAGCGGCUCUCUGGCCCAUAACUGACGCUGAGUGUGCGAAAGCUAGGGGAGCAAACGGGAUUAGAUACCCCGGUAGUCCUAGCCGUAAACGAUGGGCACUAAGUAGAGGGGUUUUA